UGUGGUUACUAGGUCUCGAGAGGUUCUCCUCCACCUCUACUCUGCCCUGGUGAGACCGCAUCUGGAAUAUUGCACCCAGUUCUGGGCCCCUCAGUUCAAGGACAGGGAACUGCUUGCGAGAGUCCAGCACAGAGCCAUGUGGAUGAUUAAAGGAAUGGAGCCUCAGCCAUGAGGAAAGGCUGAGGGAGAUGGGUCUCUUUAGCUUGGAGAAGAGGAGACUGAGGGGUGACCUUAUUAAUGUUUAUAACUAUGUAAAGAGUGAGUGUCAGGAGGACAGAGUCAGGCUCUUCUCGGUGACAUCUAAUGAUAGGACAAGGGGCAAUGGGUGCAAGUUGGAACACAGGAGGUUCCACUUAAAUAUGAGAUGAAACUUUUUCAUGGUGAGUGUGACAGAGCACUGGAACAGGCUGCCCAGGGGGGCUGUGGAGUCUCCUUCUCUGGAGACUUUCAAAACCCACCUGGACGCAUUCUUGUGUGACUUGACCUAGCUGCUCCA